rnacentral:lncRNA from 1 species
CAGCAGAGGCUCCUGGGGGUGCAGACAGGCAUGUGCCACCUUGAUGACGUGCUCCAGCUUCCUUGGCUGCUCCUCCACCUUGGCUGCCAGGAAAAGAGCUGCUGGCACCACAGACUGUGGAGGAAAAUGCUCUGUUUGCUUAAAAAGUCACGAAAUUCAAGAUGAAAAUAAAUAAACCAGGUGGAUUCUCAAUAUUCCUGUAGGGAAUUAAGGCUGUUCAAAUCUGGCCACCAACAGGAGGGACAAAAGGGUCCCCUGUGCCUUCCCAAAACUCCUCCCAAGGUGGGUUCCCCUGGCCAGGAGGGGAUUUGGGGGUUCCCAGCACCCCCCAAAGCCCAGCUUUCACUCACAUUCCUGUGGAACUGGGUGAAGGACUGCACCAUGUAGAAGCGAUGCAUGUACACGAUGGCUGUGUUGAUGGUGAGCUGGGAGCUGAAAAUGGGGUUAAGGAAAAGCACAGAGACCCCCCCAAAACACCCAGGGGGAGCCCCUGGAACAGACCCCACACACCCACAGCAAGAUGGGACAGCCUCCCCUCAUUCCCAGGGCACUUCCCUGCAUCCUAACACAUCCUCCUGAACCCCAAAACGGGCUCAGUGCUCCCCACAACCAAACUGAGCCUUCCCAAAACCCCAGGAGAGCUCUCCCAGCUCCCAAAAUCCUUUUUAGGAAUUACUUUGUCCUCACACAAGCUCAGCUUUCCCAGUCACUCAUGGGCUGACUUUCCCAACACCCCAUUACAGCUUUUCCCACUCCUCUAACCAGAUUUCCUCAAUCCCAAAACGGGUUCAGUGCUCCCCAUAACCAAACUGAGCCUUCCCAAAACCCCAAGAGAGCUCUCCCAGCUCUCAAAACCCCAAGAGAGCUCUCCCUGCUCCCAAAAUCCCUUUUAGGAUCUCCUUGGUCCUCAAACAAGCUCAGCUUUCCCAGUCACUCACGGGCUGAGCUUUCUCAACACCUCAGUACAGCUUUUCCCACUCCUCUAACCGGAUUUCCUCAAUCCCAAAACGGGCUCAGUGCUCCCCAUAACCAAACUGAGCCUUCCCAAAACCCCAAGAGAGCUCUCCCUGCUCCCAAAAUCCUUUU